rnacentral:misc_RNA from 1 species
GAUGAAGAACGUAGCGAAAUGCGAUACUUGGAGUGAAUUGCAGAAUCCCGUGAACCAUCGAGUCUUUGAACGCAAGUUGCGCCCGAAGCCAUUAGGCCGAGGGCACGCCUGCCUGGGCGUCACACGUCGUUGCCCCCCCAUCUACUCCUUCGGGAUUGCGGGGGGCGGAUGAUGGCCUCCCGUGCGCCUCGUCGCGCGGUUGGCAUAAAUACCAAGUCCUCGGCGACGCACGCCACGACAAUCGGUGGUUGCGAAACCUCGGUUGCCCGUCGUGUGCGGUCGUCGCGCAUCGAGGGCUCGAAAAAAUUGCCGGGCUCCGGCUCGGCUUUCAACGCGACCCCAGGUCAGGCGGGGUUACCCGCUGAAUUUAAGCAUAUCAAUAAGCGGAGGA